UGAGCAGCCCAUGCGGUCGCGGGCGCGCCCUGAAAAGCGCGUGUGAGGAAAGUCCGGGCUCCAUAGGGCAAGGAUGACAGCUAACGGCUGCCGGGGGUGACCCCAGGGAAAGUGCAACAGAAAACAACCGCCCGCAAGGGUAAGGGUGAAAAGGCGAGGUAAGAGCUCACCGGGUCUCUGGCAACAGGGACCGUCCGUGUAAACCCCAUCCGGAGCAAGACCAAACAGGGAGGCAGGUGCAUCCGUGCAAACCGCCUGAAAGGGGGCUGCCCGUCCCUUCCCGGGAGGUAGGUCGCUUGAGUCCUCUGGCGACAGAGGUCCUAGAAAGAUGAUCGCUUAAUACAGAACCCGGCUUACAGGCUGCUCAUGAU
rnacentral:RNase_P_RNA from 1 species